GGGAGCAUAGCUCAGCCGGGAGAGCGCCUGCCUUACAAGCAGGAGGUCACAGGUUCGAUCCCUGUUGCUCCCA
rnacentral:tRNA from 1 species